GGGGGCGUCCUAGGGCUAACCAAACUACAUGUCCCAGCAGACCGCGCGCCUUUACGGCAGGCGUGAAAAAAACAGGCAAGUUUCCCCCGAAGGCUCGCGUGAGUCGGUGUCGCACUGCCUUCUGGGAAAUGAAGUCCCAAUGCUGUUCGUGUUCAGUACCAUAAAGCAUAUGUCUUUCAGGUGCGCUCAGAGGCCAGACAAAGGCAUCCGAUCUAGAGCUGGAGUUUCAGAGGUUGUAAGCCAUUCCCUGAGUGCUCCAAGUUGAACCUGGGUUCUCUGCCAGAGCAGCCAGUGCUCUCAACCACAAAAGCAUCUCUCCCAUCCAGCCUGCAAGCAUGCUAAAGACCCAACCAGACCGAACCAGCUAACCAACCAGCCAACCAGCCAACCAGCCAACCAGCCAACCAGCCAACCAGCCAACCA